UGGUAAUGGGCUCUCGCUUAUGGUGGAC
rnacentral:piRNA from 1 species